rnacentral:lncRNA from 1 species
CCUCAAAAAAAAAAAAAAAAAAAAAUUCUGGGACUAGCCAUUAAGAUUAAAAAUUCCUUUUUUACUUCAUUCUCAUAUGUAAAAUGAAGACUGUAAUAGUACUAAGCUUAUAGAGUGCUAUAAAAGUUAAUGUAAAAAAACUUAGAAUAUUGCUUGACACAUGAUAUCUAGCCAGUGACAUAUGACUGGAGACAAUGACGUGAGUAUGCAAAAGUAAUGCACUGGCAGUAUAGCCUCAUAAUAGUAGAUGCCUAAUAGAUGGUACCCAUUCAAUAAAUUCAAUGGUGGUGGUGAUGAUGGUGAUAAACAAACAGCAUAAAAUGUAUGUUUAAAUGGUAGGGGUCCCAUUCAAUGAUUUUCACUUGGGAAGUUGUAUAUUUAUCUUAAUGAUAUUACCAGCUCCCAACUCCUAUUUACAAAUGAUCUUUGGAACAGCCUGAGAAUAUUGGUCACCCACAAUGUCAUCAACAGCAAUAGCUAUGAAUAAGAUUUUGACAUCUUUGUUUAGUUCAUAUUAUUUUUAUAUAUUAUUGAAUCAUUUUAUAUAGACAUUUUAUAUCCUAUUUUUUCACUUAACAUAUUAAAAGCAUGUUCCUGCACCUUUAAACUUUUUGUAUAUUCUGUGUUAACAACCACAUAAUAUUCUAUUGCAAAGACCUGCCAUAUUCUUUUAACAACUCUUUUGUCACUGGGCAUUUAGGUUGUUUCCAAUUCUUGGUUAUUAUAAAUAAUGCAGCAAUGGAUGUUUUUGGCCAGAAGGUUUUGUCUGCAUUUUGGAUUAUUUCCUUCAGCUAAAUUCCUAGACAUAGAAUUCCCAGGCCAAAAACUAUGAACUCAUGAUACAUAGUGCCAUAUCGUUAUCCAGAUCCUCCACAUAUUUGAAGACGACAAUCAUACUCCCAAGUCUUUUCUCCAAGAUAAACACGCACAUAUCCCCUAUCAUUCCUCAUAUGACUCAUUUCCCAGUGUGGUCACCAUUCUUGCCCCUUUUCCUCUGGAAGAAAGCACAAACUCCUAAGCUGGCAUUCAAAGCUCUUCCACUCUGACUCAACUUCAUCUUUGCCCCUUCAUCUCCUGUAGUACCUCACCUCCCUUGUCAGCCCCCUCCUCUCCUCUCAGUCACUGCUCCCUACAAAUGCCCUGUUCCUUCACUCUGCCAUUCACUUAUUUACUGUUCCUUCAGUCCAGGAUGCCUUUCAUACUUUUGAUGCCUAGGAAACUCCAUCUCAUCUUGCAGUACAGGGCUCCAGUGCCGCCUCUUCUUCUUCUUGAUCCCUUCUUCCCUGCCCCAGGCAGAACUAACUUUUCUGUGCCCCCUACUCCUGUGCCACUUUGUACAGAGUAGUCAGGGCCCCACCAUGAAAUGACAACCUACUCAAAUUUGGACAAUGCAAACAGGAUUUAAUAAAGGAUGAUUUAGGAAGAUGUGUGCAGAAUGUAGAGAAACCACAAGGAAUAGCAUCAUACUCAAAUGCUAGCAAGGCUUUUAACAUCUCUACACCUGAAGGAGUAAGGACAGGAGGGGUUACUGGAAUGCAGAAGGGAAGAGUUUUGUGGAGAGGGCCACCUU